GUUUAUUAAGUUGGGGGUGAAAUCUCCGGGCUCAACCCGGAGCUCGUUCUCAAAACUGGUAGACUUGAGUAAGGUAGAGGCUGACGGAAUUCUGCAAGUAGGGGUAAAAUCCGUUGAUCUGCAGAGGAACACCAAAAGCGAAGGCAGUCAGCUGGGCCUUUACUGACGCUGAGGGACGAAAGCGUGGGUAGCGAACGGGAUUAGAUACCCCGGUAGUCCACGCCGUAAAUGAUGGAUACUGGACAUUGGUACUCGAUCGUAUCAGUGUCUCAAGCUAACGCAUUAAGUAUCCCGCCUGGGGAGUACGGUCGCAAGAUUAAAACUCAAAGGAAUAGACGGGGACCCACACAAGCGGUGGAGCAUGUGGUUUAAUUCGACAAUAAGCGAGGAACCUUACCAGGGCUUGACAUCCCGAGAAUUCUUUAGAAAUAGAGAAGUGCCUUUAUGGAACUCGGUGACAGGUGCUGCAUGGUUGUCGUGCAGCUCGUGCCUUGAGGUGUUCGGUUAAGUCCGUAAACGAGCGCAACCCUAGUCCUAUGUUGUAUAUUUCAUAGGAGACUGCCUUGUCCAACGAGGAGGAAGGUUAGGAUGACGUCAAAUCAGCAUGGCCCUUAUGUCCUGGGCGACACACGUGCUACAAUGGUCGGUACAAUGGGUAGCCAACCCGCGAGGGGGAGCCAAUCCCAUCAAAGCCGGUCCAAGUUCGGAUUGGAGGCUGCAAC
rnacentral:rRNA from 1 species